CACCAGAUAAAGGAGCUAGUAGAGGGACCUAAAGAGGGGACAAUAAUGGACGAACUGGAUGAUGUCAUAGCAUCAAUUUUAAAUGCUGCCAAUGUUGACGAGGCCUUGCUUCACACCCUCAGUCGUGAUGAUUUGUGAGAUCUUUUUCCUGGGCCGGAACACUUUCUCAGGAGGAAACGAGUUUGGGCUCUUAUUAACCCAGAGGAUGGGAAUGCCACCUUAACAGACAAAUCUGGCCCUGGUGAAGCAGGAACAGUGUCUUCACCUAGAGGAGUGCCUCCAAUCUUGCCCCAGACAUCUUCUCCUUUGGUGAUGAAAAAUCCAAGGAAGACCCUGCAGCUUCCCAGUCCUCCAGAAUAUGUGGUUUAUACAGAUAGUGAGUUAGAGCAAGCUCGCGAGCACUACUUUGAGAUGGCCCGCACUGGCAGAGAAAGGGACUGUGUCAUGUCUAAAGAGCUGAGAUGCAGACUGGUGAGGAACACUGUCACCAGCAUGAUUUCCAUCUUGGGAGCCAGUGAGCAAGGAGAGGAGCUGCGGUACCCUUCUAAGCAUGAAGUCACUUCAAUGGCUAGGAGACUUGUGGAAUAUUAUCCCAUGCUACAGGAUAAAGAUACAACUAUG